AUGACAAGAGCAUCAUUGCCAUCACCACCAACACAACGAAGAGCAACCUACGACAAGCUAAAGUUCAACAUGCCAAAGUUCUCCGAAAGCAACGAUCCCGAAUUACCUUUAAUGGGCAUUGAAGGUCGACAAGAUCUUUCUCUACACAACUAUGAAGAAGGGAAGGAAAUUGCCAUGGCAUCGCUUGAGUUCCAAGACUAUGUCCUCAUUUGGUGGGACCAAGUCAUUGAGCGACGAGAAGCAAAAGAUGACCCACCCAUCACAACAUGGAACCAAAUUAAGGAUGUCAUGCAAGCGUGCUUUGUGCCUACAUAUUAUAGCCUAGAUCUCUUCAAAAAGUUGCAACUCCUCAAGCAAGGCAUGAAGUCCGUUGAAGAGUAUUACAAGGAGAUGAAAAUCGCCAUGAUCUGA
rnacentral:rRNA from 1 species